AUUGAUCUGAGAUUUGGGCCAGUCCCUCCACCACCACCGGCCAAGGCAAGGGCUGAGAGCAGUGGUGUGACAACCACCUACCAGGAUGGGCUGGGACCAAACACCUCCCUCAGCCACUGCAUCCUCGAGCCAAGCAGAAGCAUCCUAAACAUCACCUGGACCAGGCAUCCCGUGCCCUUUGCAGCCAUUCUGUGCAUAGCCCCAUGCAUGGCCUUUUGGAUCAGAUGGACC
rnacentral:lncRNA from 1 species